GUUGGUAUGGCUCAGUUGGUUAGAGCGUUGGUCUCAUAUCUGGUAUCAGAUUGACUUGGUUAAACACCAGGGUUAUCCAAAGGUCGAGAGUUCGAACCUCUCUACCGACA
rnacentral:tRNA from 1 species